rnacentral:rRNA from 1 species
GCUCGCAAGAGAACCGGAACACAGGUGCUGGCAUGGCUGUCGUCAGCUCGUGUCGUGAGAUGUUGGGUUAAGUCCCGCAACGAGCGCAACCCUCGACCUUAGUUGCCAGCAUUCAGUUGGGCACUCUAAGGUGACGUGCCGGCUAAAAGUCGGAGAAGUGGGGAUGACGUCAAAUCAUCAUGCCCCUUAUGACCUGGGCUACACACGUGCUACAAUGGGCGGUACAAAGGGUCGCGAACCCGCGAGGGGGAGCCAAUCCCAAAAAGCCGCUCUCAGUUCGGAUUGCAGGCUGCAACUCGCCUGCAUGAAGCCGGAAUCGCUAGUAAUCGCGGAUCAGCAUGCCGCGGUCGAAUACGUUCCCGGGCCUU